GUGAGAUGUCGGGUUAAGUCCCUUAACGAGCGAAACCCUUGUCGCUAGUUGCCAGCGAGUCAUGUCGGGGACUCUAGCGAGACUGCCGGUGUUAAACCGGAGGAAGGCGGGGAUGACGUCAAGUCCUCAUGGCCUUUAUGACUAGGGCUGCACACGUCCUACAAUGGCGCGUACAAAGGGAAGCAAACCCGCGAGGGCAAGCAAAUCCCAAAAAGCGCGCCUCAGUUCGGAUUGCAGGCUGCAACCCGCCUGCAUGAAGCUGGAAUCGCUAGUAAUCGCGGGUCAGCAUACCGCGGUGAAUGUGUUCCUGAGCCUUGUACACACCGCCCGUCAAGCCACGAAAGUGGGGGGCAUCCGAAGUCGCCGUGGUAACCCGCAAGGGAACUAAGCGCCGAAGAUGAACUCCGCGAUUGGGACUAAGUCGUAACAAGGUAGCCGUA
rnacentral:rRNA from 1 species